UAAUUAACUUAAAUAAUGAUAUAAGUUAUAAAAUAUUAUAUUUUAUAUAUAUAUUAUAAUAUAUAUUUAAUAUAUAUUAUAUUAUAUAUAAUUAAUAAUCCUUACCAAUAUUUGUGCCAGCAGCAGCGGUAAUACAAAGAGGGUAAACGUUAAUCAUAAUGGUUUAAAGAAUUCGUAGAAUGAUAUAUAUAUAUAUAUUAGAAUUAAUAAAUUUAAUUUAAGAAUUAUAAUAGUAAAGAUGAAAUAAUAAUAAUAAUUAUAAGACUGAUAUAUAUGAAAAUAUAAAUUAAAUAUUAAUUGACAUUGAGGAAUGAAAGCUAAAGUAGCAAUACGGAUUCGAUACCCGAGUAGUUUUAGCCGUAAACUAUGAAUACCUAUCGGUUCCUUAAUUAUAGGGUCCGAUAAAAUGAAAAUUAAAGUAUUCCACCUGAAGAGUAUAAUCUCAAGAUUGAAACUCAAGACAUUAGACGGUUACAGACUUAAGCAGUGGAGCAU
rnacentral:rRNA from 1 species